rnacentral:rRNA from 1 species
UACAGAGGUCUCAAGCGUUGUUCGGAUUCAUUGGGCGUAAAGGGUGUGUAGGUGGCGCCGUAAGUCGGGGUGUGAAAUUUCGGAGCUUAACUCCGAAACUGCAUUCGAUACUGCGGUGCUUGAGGACUGGAGAGGAGACUGGAAUUCAUGGUGUAGCAGUGAAAUGCGUAGAGAUCAUGAGGAAGACCAGUGGCGAAGCGGGUCUCUGGACAGUUCCUGACACUGAGACACGAAGGCCAGGGGAGCAAACGGG